UGUAUAAUGGGUCAGCGACUUAUAUUCUGUAGCAAGGUUAACCGUAUAGGGGAGCCGAAGGGAAACCGAGUCUUAACUGGGCGUUAAGUUGCAGGGUAUAGACCCGAAACCCGGUGAUCUAGCCAUGGGCAGGUUGAAGGUUGGGUAACACUAACUGGAGGACCGAACCGACUAAUGUUGAAAAAUUAGCGGAUGACUUGUGGCUGGGGGUGAAAGGCCAAUCAAACCGGGAGAUAGCUGGUUCUCCCCGAAAGCUAUUUAGGUAGCGCCUCGUGAACUCAUCUUCGGGGGUAGAGCACUGUUUCGGCUAGGGGGCCAUCCCGGCUUACCAACCCGAUGCAAACUACGAAUACCGAAGAAUGUUAUCACGGGAGACACACGGCGGGUGCUAACGUCCGUCGUGAAGAGGGAAACAACCCAGACCGCCAGCUAAGGUCCCAAAGUCAUGGUUAAGUGGGAAACGAUGUGGGAAGGCACAGACAGCCAGGAUGUUGGCUUAGAAGCAGCCAUCAUUUAAAGAAAGCGUAAUAGCUCACUGGUCGAGUCGGCCUGCGCGGAAGAUGUAACGGGGCUAAACCAUGCACCGAAGCUGCGGCAGCGACGCUUAGGCGUUGUUGGGUAGGGGAGCGUUCUGUAAGCCGUUGA
rnacentral:rRNA from 1 species